rnacentral:rRNA from 1 species
AUUGAACGCUGGCGGCAUGCUUUACACAUGCAAGUCGAACGGUAACAGGCCGCAAGGUGCUGACGAGUGGCGAACGGGUGAGUAAUGCAUCGGAACGUGCCCAGUCGUGGGGGAUAACGCAGCGAAAGCUGCGCUAAUACCGCAUACGAUCUAUGGAUGAAAGCGGGGGACCGUAAGGCCUCGCGCGAUUGGAGCGGCCGAUGUCAGAUUAGGUAGUUGGUGGGGUAAAGGCUCACCAAGCCAACGAUCUGUAGCUGGUCUGAGAGGACGACCAGCCACACUGGGACGGAGACACGGCCCGGACUCCUACGGGAGGCAGCAGUGGGGAAUUUUGGACAAUGGGCGCAAGCCUGAUCCAGCAAUGCUGCGUGCAGGAAGAAGGCCUUCGGGUUGUAAACUGCUUUUGUACGGAACGAAACGGUCCUGGUUAAUACCUGGGGCUAAUGACGGUACCGUAAGAAUAAGCACCGGCUAACUACGUGCCAGCCGCCGCCGUAAUAC